rnacentral:rRNA from 1 species
GGAUCAAUAUGUCGGUCGUGCUUCGGUACGUACUGGUAUCAUUGGUUUCUCCCUCUUGAAGAACUGUGAUGUCAUUUAUUUGGUGUUGUGGGGAAUCAGGACUGUUACUUUGAAAAAAUUAGAGUGUUUAAAGCAGGCUCACGCUUGAAUACAUUAGCAUGGAAUAAUGAAAUAGGACGUUUGAUUCUAUUUUGUUGGUUUCUAGGAUCGACGUA